GAUGCUGUGCAUGAUGAAAUUGAGCUGGCUGAUGGAAUGGAAAGAGAGGAAUUGACUUCAGAUAUAAUUGUCACAACUGAUACCUCUAAAGUUGGAAAUUCAGUUCAAUCCGGGAAGAAACAAAAACUAAGUUCUCGUGUUGAACAACCUCCACCCCAAGAGCUUGAUGGUGGAAUUGUGCUGGCUGAUGGAACCUCUGGAAUGGAAAGGGAGGAACUGACUUCAAAUACAAUGACCUCAACUGAUGCCCUUAAAGAUGAAAAUUUGAUUCCAUUCGGGAAGAAACAAAAACUAAGUUCUCGAGUUGAACAACCUCCACCUCAAGAACUUGAUGGUGAUGAGGACUUAAAGGCUACAAGAAGUAGUGAAAAUAGCAAAGCAAGAUCAGAAAGCAGCAGAGAUCUUCAGAAGUGGCAUGAUGGUGGUGAGGAGGAAGUUAUUGAAGAUGGAUCUUCUGUACGC
rnacentral:lncRNA from 1 species